GUAGGUGGCAAGCGUUGUCCGGAAUUAUUGGGCGUAAAGCGCGCGCAGGCGGUCCUUUAAGUCUGAUGUGAAAGCCCACGGCUCAACCGUGGAGGGUCAUUGGAAACUGGGGGACUUGAGUACAGAAGAGGAAAGCGGAAUUCCAAGUGUAGCGGUGAAAUGCGUAGAGAUUUGGAGGAACACCAGUGGCGAAGGCGGCUUUCUGGUCUGUAACUGACGCUGAGGCGCGAAAGCGUGGGGAGCAAACAGGAUUAGAUACCCUGGUAGUCCACGCCGUAAACGAUGAGUGCUAAGUGUUAGGGGGUUUCCCGCCCCCUUAGUGCUGCAGCUAACGCAUUAAGCACUCCGCCUGGGGAGUACGGCUGCAAGGCUG
rnacentral:rRNA from 1 species